GGUUACUGUAAGCCUACGUUUGCUAUUUGGACUAUCGAUAUUUUAGACCUCUCAGAGAAAAUGCCGAAUACCAAAAGGUUUUGUGUGACUUAGGGCACUAGUGCUGUAACUGUGUUUGUAGCUACUGAAUGACACUGAUGGUUUUCGCAUAUGUGAGUUCAAAGAGAUUAUCCUGGAGAAAAGGCAGAUUCUUUUCCAUGUGAUUUGGUAAGAAUUUUCUCUCCUCUGUUUACAGUUUUGGGUUUAACUAGACAGUAUCAUAAUAAUCCACACGGCUGCAUGAGCAGUUGGAUUUAUGUUUAUGUCCUUGGAUACUUUUAUAUGGCUCAAAAAGUAUCAGGCUCAUCACAAAACUAGUGAAAUUUGUGGAUCAUACACAGCAAGUUUACAGCUAUUUCAAACAUCGUAUUGCCAAGAGCUGUGAACACAAAAGGAAGGAACCAAAAACAGACUUGCAAUAAUAUUACAUGACUACUCAGUUAAGCUGUGUGUGUCAAGACAGUUGUGUGCAGGCUCACAUCCUAUUCCAGCAGGGCUUACUUGGGCACGUGUGAUACUCUGAUUCAGCUUCCCUGGACCUUGGAUCAUCUGUACAGACUAUGAAAUCAAAUGAGAUGAAAACAACAUUCUUUGUACCUGCUCUUUGAAACACUGUCGUCUGGCUCCACUCACUCCAUUGACUGUGAUGCAAGAAGAGGGCCUGAAUGAUGACACAGGGUUCCUAAGAAGAAGAGCUAUUGAACUUCAGUAUUGAUGUUUAAUGUAAAAUCUCUCAGCCUUAAUAUGGAAAACCAGAAAGGCAGUCUUAAGUCAGCUGGUGGAGCUCAGUGGCAAGGCCAUUGUACCCAAAGAAAAAGCUCAUUCACAUGAUCUUGUAUGCUCACCUGAAUCUCAGAGGAAGUCAGAAGCUUCAGGCUCUGGACUCUUUCAAAAUGUGUUUUGCUCCUUCUUGCUCCCAGAGCAAGAUUCUGAUUUUGACAAGACACUUGACAAGGUCUAGCAAUGCAUGUUUGCAGCCCAGAAAGCCCAUUGUAUCCUGGGCUGCAUCAAAAGCAGCAUGACCAGCAGGUUAAGGGAGAGGAUUCUACCUCUCUACUCUGCUCUUCUGAAACCCCCACUUGCAGUACUGUGUCCAGUUCUGGGGUCCUCAACCUAAGAAGGACAUGGAGUUGCUAGAGCAAGUCUGGAGGAGGCCACAGAGACGAUCAGAGAACUGCAGUCCCUCUGCUAUGGAGAGAGGAUAGGAGAGCUGGACUUGCUCUGCUUGGAGAAGAGAAGGCUCCAGGGAGAACUUAGAGUCCUUUCCAGUACAUAA